rnacentral:tRNA from 1 species
GCCGGCGUGGCGCAAUGGUAGCGCGUAGCUUUCCUACUGCUUGGGUUAGGCUGAAGUUGCGGGUUCGAUCCCCGUCGUCGGUU